rnacentral:rRNA from 1 species
GGUUAAGUUAAAAAGGGCGCAUGGUGGAUGCCUUGGCACUAGAAGCCGAUGAAGGACGGGACUAACACCGAUAUGCUUCGGGGAGCUGUACGUAAGCUUUGAUCCGGAGAUUUCCGAAUGGGGGAACC